CAAAAGCCACUCACCAUGGACUUAGGGCUCAUACUGGUUUUCUUUAUCCUUAUUUUAAAAGGUGUCCAGUGUGAAGUGCAGUUGUCAGAGUCUGGCGGAGGCUUAGUGCAGCCUGGAAAGUCCCUGAAACUCUCCUGUGCAGCCUCUGGAUUCACCUUUAGUAGUUACCCAAUGAACUGGAUACGCCAGGCUCCAAGGAAGGGGCUGGAGUGGGUCACAUCCAUUAGUAGUGAGGGUGGUAUCAUGACCUAUAUUGACGCUGUGAAGGGUCGGUUCACAAUCUCCAGAGACAAUGCCAAGAACACUCUGUACCUGGAAAUGAGCAAUCUGAGGUCUGAGGACACAGCCAUGUAUUACUGUGUGCUAAGGCACAGUGAGUGA